GGGCGGCCUUAAGGUUUUCUAUUUAUCCUUUCAUCCUUGAUAUCUUUCAUUUCUAUGGUUUAUCCUUUUGUGCCAUUGUUCCAAACUCUUUUAAGUUUAUGAUAGGUUUUUUGAUCCCUUGUGUCAUGGCUAAUGUCCAGCCAUCUAUUGAUGCUCUUUUUUCACCAUCAAGAGGCAUUCUUACUCUAAAGAUUGGUGGUACUUUUCUUCUUAAAGGGGAGUUUCUCCUCUGAUCAAGGGCACUCCUUUUGUUCACGGGUGGAAGGAGCAGUUCUUGCUAGCAUCUAGCUCUAUAGUGGAGGACUGGGACUUGCUGAGCUAGGGUCAGCUGGAGACUUCAGUGUUCAAGGUUCCAAGGCUGGGGUCCAAGGAAGAGGAUCGCUUUAGGAUCCUCAGAAACUUCAAGGCUCCCUCAACCAGCAAAUUGAUGUUUGAUAAGGUCCUCUUUAACGCUUGACUCAGCCAAGUUGACUCCAAGGGUAAGUAUUGCAGUUGUCCAUCUUACUCAUUUUUUUCUUUAAGGUUGCCAAUUGAGUUUGACUGUUCACAGAGAUG
rnacentral:lncRNA from 1 species